GGUUUGUCGUAGAGCAGAUUGCAAGUCUGCUUAAGCUUAUUAGAGCACAAGCCU
rnacentral:tRNA from 1 species